CGUAGGGACCAAGCGUUGUUCGGAUUUACUGGGCGUAAAGGGCGCGUAGGCGGCAAUUCAAGUCAGCUGUGAAAUCUCCGGGCUUAACUCGGAACGGUCAGCUGAUACUGCUUUGCUAGAGUACAGAAGGGGGCAAUCGGAAUUCUUGGUGUAGCGGUGAAAUGCGUAGAUAUCAAGAGGAACACCUGAGGUGAAGACGGGUUGCUGGGCUGAUACUGACGCUGAGGCGCGAAAGCUAGGGUAGCAAACGGGAUUAGAUACCCCGGUAGUCCUAGCCCUAAACGAUGAAUACUUGGUGUCUGGAGUUUUUAUCCUCCGGGUGCCGUCGCUAACGUUUUAAGUAUUCCGCCUGGGGAGUACGCACGCAAGUGUG
rnacentral:rRNA from 1 species